rnacentral:rRNA from 1 species
AACGAACGCUGGCGGCAUGCCUAACACAUGCCAGUCCAACGAGACCUUCGGGUCUAGUGGCGCACGGGUGCGUAACGCGUGGGAACCUGCCCUUAGGUUCGGAAUAACUCCCCGAAAGGGGUGCUAAUACCGGAUAAUGUCUUCGGACCAAAGAUUUAUCGCCUUUGGAUGGGCCCGCGUUGGAUUAGCUAGUUGGUAGGGUAAAAGCCUACCAAGGCGACGAUCCAUAGCUGGUCUGAGAGGAUGAUCAGCCACACUGGGACUGAGACACGGCCCAGACUCCUACGGGAGGCAGCAGUGGGGAAUAUUGGACAAUGGGCGAAAGCCUGAUCCAGCAAUGCCGCGUGAGUGAUGAAGGCCUUAGGGUUGUAAAGCUCUUUUACCCGGGAUGAUAAUGACAGUACCGGGAGAAUAAGCGCCGGCUAACUCCGUG